UCUAAAAGGAAGAGUCUUGAAAAUAGUUUACGCCUCUGUGUCUAGAUCUCAACUCCACCAUUGUUCUGCGAAACAACUCAAACCACCACUCAUCUUCUCUCCUUACUACUCGAGAAGACAACAGACAAGACACCACCAAACCACUAGAAAGCUUCACCCAUCAACCACAGCUUGGCUUUCUCCCUCACCAUAACUUCUCACCGAUAGAAGAACUCACUGGUGAGCUCCAUGUUUCGGCAAAACACCAUAACCAAAUGAGCUCAAAGGUCCUACCAGACCCAAAACCAUUGUCGUACCCUCCUUUCUCCUUUA
rnacentral:misc_RNA from 1 species